GAAGUGUGGACGCCAGUCUGCAUGGAGCCGACCUUGAAAUACCACCCUUUAAUGUUUGAUGUUCUAACGUUGACCCGUGAUCCGGGUUGCGGACAGUGUCUGGUGGGUAGUUUGACUGGGGCGGUCUCCUCCUAAAGAGUAACGGAGGAGCACGAAGGUUGGCUAAUCCUGGUCGGACAUCAGGAGGUUAGUGCAAUGGCAUAAGCCAGCUUGACUGCGAGCGUGACGGCGCGAGCAGGUGCGAAAGCAGGUCAUAGUGAUCCGGUGGUUCUGAAUGGAAGGGCCAUCGCUCAACGGAUAAAAGGUACUCCGGGGAUAACAGGCUGAUACCGCCCAAGAGUUCAUAUCGACGGCGGUGUUUGGCACCUCGAUGUCGGCUCAUCACAUCCUGGGGCUGAAGUAGGUCCCAAGGGUAUGGCUGUUCGCCAUUUAAAGUGGUACGCGAGCUGGGUUUAGAACGUCGUGAGACAGUUCGGUCCCUAUCUGCCGUGGGCGCUGGAGAACUGAGGGGGGCUGCUCCUAGUACGAGAGGACCGGAGUGGACGCAUCACUGGUGUUCGGGUUGUCAUGCCAAUGGCACUGCCCGGUAGCUAAAUGCGGAAGAGAUAAGUGCUGAAAGCAUCUAAGCACGAAACUUGCCCCGAG
rnacentral:rRNA from 1 species